AUUGAACGCUGGCGGCAUGCCUAAUACAUGCAAGUCGAACGAGAGGCGGACUGGUGAGUUAUGUAUUGGAAACUGGUUGAUGGACGGGGAUAACUAGUGGACACGGUAGCACAUAAUGCAUACUAUCGGUUGUGCUCUGAUGGGUUUAGCUAGUCGGUGGGGUAAAGGCUUACCUAGGCGACGAUCCCUAGCUGGUCUGAGAGGAUGACCAGCCACACUGGAACUGAGACACGGUCCAGACUCCUACGGGAGGCAGCAGUAGGGAAUAUUGGACAAUGGGCGCAAGCCUGAUGCAGCCAUGCCGCGUGAAUGAAGAAGGCCUUCGGGUUGUAAAGUACUUUCAGCGGAGAGGCGUUACCCGCAGAAGAAGCACCGGCUAACUCCGUGCCAGCAGCCGCGGUAAUAC
rnacentral:rRNA from 1 species